rnacentral:rRNA from 1 species
GAUGAACGCUGGCGGCGUGCCUAAUACAUGCAAGUCGAGCGAACGGACGAGAAGCUUGCUUCUCUGAUGUUAGCGGCGGACGGGUGAGUAACACGUGGAUAAUCUACCUAUAAGACUGGGAUAACUUCGGGAAACCGGAGCUAAUACCGGAUAAUAUUUUGAACCGCAUGGUUCAAAAGUGAAAGACGGUCUUGCUGUCACUUAUAGAUGGAUCCGCGCUGCAUUAGCUAGUUGGUAAGGUAACGGCUUACCAAGGCAACGAUGCAUAGCCGACCUGAGAGGGUGAUCGGACACACUGGAACUGAGACACGGUCCAGACUCCUACGGGAGGCAGCAGUAGGGAAUCUUCCGCAAUGGGCGAAAGCCUGACGGAGCAACGCCGCGUGAGUGAUGAAGGUCUUCGGAUCGUAAAACUCUGUUAUUAGGGAAGAACAUAUGUGUAAGUAACUGUGCACAUCUUGACGGUACCUAAUCAGAAAGCCACGGCUAACUACGUG